rfam:Gossypium hirsutum cultivar TM-1 chromosome 3, whole genome shotgun sequence
AUUCCGUGAUGAGGGCACUUCCGUAAAAAAAAUUUGUACCUUUCUCAUGCCUCAUACAAGGACUCAUCGUCCAUUUGUUGGAAGGCAGUGAUCUUGUUCCUCAACUU